rnacentral:rRNA from 1 species
CCUACGGGAGGCAGCAGUGGGGAAUUUUGCGCAAUGCUCGUAAGAGUGACGCAGCGACGCCGCGUGAAUGACGAAGGCCUUCGGGUCGUAAAGUUCUUUCUACAGGGAAGAAAAUUCCUAUAAGUAACUGUGUAUGUAUUGACGGUACCUGUAUAAGCAGCCCCGGCUAACUCCGUGCCAGCAGCCGCGGUAAUACGGAGGGGGCGAGCGUUGUUCGGAGUGACUGGGCGUAAAGCGCACGUAGGCGGUGUUGUAAGUCAUUAGUCAAAGACUAGAGCUCAACGUGAGCAAGGCUAGUGAUACUAUAAUACUAGAGUAUGAGAGAGGAUCGCAGAAUUCCUGGUGUAGCGGUGAAAUGCGUAGAUAUCAGGAGGAAUACCGUUAGCGAAGGCGGCAAUCUGG